rnacentral:rRNA from 1 species
UACGAAGGGGGCUAGCGUUGCUCGGAAUCACUGGGCGUAAAGGGUGCGUAGGCGGGUCUUUAAGUCAGAGGUGAAAUCCUGGAGCUCAACUCCAGAACUGCCUUUGAUACUGCAUGGCUUGAGACCGGAAGAGGUAAGUGGAACUGCGAGUGUAGAGGUGAAAUUCGUAGAUAUUCGCAAGAACACCAGUGGCGAAGGCGGCUUACUGGUCCGGUUCUGACGCUGAGGCGCGAAAGCGUGGGGAGCAAACAGG